rnacentral:rRNA from 1 species
GAGCGGACAGAUGGGAGCUUGCUCCCUGAUGUUAGCGGCGGACGGGUGAGUAACACGUGGGUAACCUGCCGGGUAACCUGCCUGUAAUGGGAUAACUCCGGGAAACCGGGGCUAAUACCGGAUGGUUGUUUGAACCGGGCCAUGGUUCAAACAUAAAAGGUGGCUUCGGCUACCACUUACAGAUGGACCCGCGGCGCAUUAGCUAGUUGGUGAGGUAACGGCUCACCGCAACGAUGCGUAGCCGACCUGAGAGGGUGAUCGGCCACACUGGGACUGACCGGACACGGCCCAGACUCCUACGGGAGGCAGCAGUAGGGAAUCUUCCGCAAUGGACGAAAGUCUGACGGAGCAACGCCGCGUGAGUGAUGAAGGUUUUCGGAUCGUAAAGCUCUGUUGUUAGGGAAGAACAAGUACCGUUCGAAUAGGGCGGUACCUUGACGGUACCUAACCAGAAAGCCACGGCUAACUACGUGCCAGCAGCCGCGGUAAUACGUAGGUGGCAAGCGUUGUCCGGAAUUAUUGGGCGUAAAGGGCUCGCAGGCGGUUUCUUAAGUCUGAUGUGAAAGCCCCCGGCUCAACCGGGGAGGGUCAUUGGAAACUGGGGAACUUGAGUGCAGAAGAGGAGAGUGGAAUUCCACGUGUAGCGGUGAAAUGCGUAGAGAUGUGGAGGAACACCAGUGGCGAAGGCGACUCUCUGGUCUGUAACUGACGCUGAGGAGCGAAAGCGUGGGGAGCGAACAGGAUUAGAUACCCUGGUAGUCCACGCCGUAAACGAUGAGUGCUAAGUGUUAGGGGGUUUCCGCCCCUUAGUGCUGCAGCUAACGCAUUAAGCACUCCGCCUGGGGAGUACGGUCGCAAGACUGAAACUCAAAGGAAUUGACGGGGGCCCGCACAAGCGGUGGAGCAUGUGGUUUAAUUCGAAGCAACGCGAAGAACCUUACCAGGUCUUGACAUCCUCUGACAAUCCUAGAGAUAGGACGUCCCCUUCGGGGGCAGAGUGACAGGUGGUGCAUGGUUGUCGUCAGCUCGUGUCGUGAGAUGUUGGGUUAAGUCCCGCAACGAGCGCACUUGAUCUUAGUUGCCAGCAUUCAGUUGGGCACUCUAAGGUGACUGCCGGAAGUGACAAACCGGAGGAAGGCUGGGGAUGACCUCAAAUAAUCAUGCCCCUUAUGACCUGGGCUACACACGUGCUAAAAUGGACAGAACAGGCAGCGAAACCGCGAGGUUAAGCCAAUCCCACAAAUCUGUUCUCAGUUCCGAGGAUCGCAGUCUGCAACUCGACUGCGUGAAGCUGGAAUCGCUAGUAAUCGCGGAUCAGCAUGCCGCGGUG